rnacentral:rRNA from 1 species
AUUGAACGCUGGCGGCAUGCCUUACACAUGCAAGUCGAACGGAUUCAAGAGGCUUGCUUCUUGAGUUAGUGGCGAACGGGUGAGUAAAGCAUCGGAACGUACCCAGUUGUGGGGGAUAACGUAGCGAAAGUUACGCUAAUACCGCAUACGCACUGAGGUGGAAAGCGGGGGACCGAAAGGCCUCGCGCAAUUGGAGCGGCCGAUGUCGGAUUAGCUAGUUGGUGAGGUAAAGGCUCACCAAGGCGACGAUCCGUAGCUGGUCUGAGAGGACGACCAGCCACACUGGAACUGAGACACGGUCCAGACUCCUACGGGAGGCAGCAGUGGGGAAUUUUGGACAAUGGGCGAAAGCCUGAUCCAGCCAUGCCGCGUGAGUGAAGAAGGCCUUCGGGUUGUAAAGCUCUUUCAGACGGAAAGAAAUCUUUCGGGUGAAUAUCCCGGAAGGAUGACGGUACCGUAAGAAGAAGCACCGGCUAACUACGUG